AUGAAAAAACCUUAAGACAAGGAAAGGAAAGAAAAGCAGAUGAGAGACCCUUAGAAGAGAAGGUUUGCAGCGGGAGGAAAGGAAACAUGUGAGGCCUUCUUUGAAGGAAGAAAAGGAAGGAAGGAGAUUCCAACUGCUAUCGAUUAAACUGUUCAUAUCUUGAAGCUAUAACCCCCCAGGACAGAAUCCUCUGCCUCUCCACAUUCCAGAACAUCGGGUCGCUUCCUGGAUUUCAAACCCUGGUCUAUUCCUCCCUCUCUGACCUCCGCCGUCACCACCUCUUGUCCCGGAGCGAAUCAACUCCAGGCUGGUUCAAGUUGCUGCACAUUUUCAAUUGCUACAAGAGAUUCUCUUCGGCAAGAACAGCAGUGGGGAAAGUUUCCGCAUAGCCGUUUUAUAUUAGCUAAU